UACAGAGGUCUCAAGCGUUGUUCGGAUUCAUUGGGCGUAAAGCGUCUGUAGGUGGCUUUUCAAGUCCGCCGUCAAAUCCCAGGGCUCAACCCUGGACAGGCGGUGGAAACUACCAAGCUGGAGUACGGUAGGGGCAGAGGGAAUUUCCGGUGGAGCGGUGAAAUGCAUUGAGAUCGGAAGGAACACCAACGGCGAAAGCACUCUGCUGGGCCGACACUGACACUGAGAGACGAAAGCUAGGGGAGCAAAUGGG
rnacentral:rRNA from 1 species